UGUAGCUCAGCCUAACUUGAUAGGGCACUGAACCCGCCUCUCCCCUCCUGCGAUUGGACGUUUCGCAGUUGCCAAGGAUUUCAUUGGGAAAUUGUCGCCGGCGCUUUGAGCUCCGUGGUCCAGUUGACAGUCACUCAAAAUGACAUCAUCGCAUGUGUUCGUCAAGUGAUUCAAGACUCAAGAUUGUUUAAUGUCAUUUCCAGUACACAAGUGUAAAUGGGAACAAAAUAAUUGUUCCUCUGGAUCUAAUGCAGCACAAAAGAAACAAUAACAUAAAGAACAUACAAGUAAAAAAGCACAACAUUUUAGGAGAAGCACCCCACUGGUGUUAGCCUUCUCUGUGGCAAUCAUUCCUUGGCAGAGAGUUGCAGCCCUGUUGACUCUGAUGGUGGAGUCACACAGAUGAAUUGGAUUACUCCUCUUUGUGGUUAAUACAUGUGAUUUUUCAAGUAAGAAAGUAAGCUUGAAUGCUACUGCUAUGAAGAUGCUUUCUGAGAAUCAACAGUGACCUUUACUAUUUUAACGUGUAUCCUGUUUGGCAUAUUGUAAAGGAACUGAAAUUUGGGCUGAGGUGGUCUGUUGAAAAUCUACCAUACUGUUGGAUCUUACAGAGAGGGGAUUAUUUAGUCUUACAAAUUCAUUGAAAACAGCUGAUCCUCCAAUCAACAAAUUGAGUGAGUUGAUUAAAUUUGCUGAGAUUUUUCAAGGAAAAGAGGUGAACAAACAGGCUGUGAAACUUACUGGGCAGACUAGAUUUCUCCUCACCACUAAAUACAUUGAAGGCUGUUUUUUUGGACCCUUGCAGAGAUCAACAGAUUCUGUGGAACAGCAGACAGAACAUGAUACUCUGGCAGAAGUGAAUGUGAGGCACUAUCUCAUUGGACAGAGGAGCAGGAGCUGUGUGACUUACUCCAGUGAUUUACUAUUUCCCCCCAAAGGAGCAGUGACUCACUCUGCUUCCAUUUUGCUUGUAUUCCCCACAUGAAAAGAAGAGAUGUUGAUUUAACUUCGUGAAAUAAAAAAAA